rnacentral:rRNA from 1 species
CUGGCGGCGUGCUUCAUACAUGCAAGUCGAACGAUAAGGUCUCUUCGGAGACAUAUAAGUGGCGGACGGGUGAGUAAUGUGUAGAGAAUCUGCCCUAGAGUGGGGGACAACAGUUGGAAACGACUGCUAAUACCGCAUAUGCGCGUAGCUGAGAAGCUAUUCGUGAAAACUCCGGUGCUCUGGGAUGAGUCUGCAUCUGAUUAGCUAGUUGGGGGUGUAAUGGACCACCAAGGCGACGAUCAGUAGCUGGUUUGAGAGGAUGAUCAGCCACAAUGGGACUGAGACACGGCCCAUACUCCUACGGGAGGCAGCAGUAGGGAAUUUUGCGCAAUGGGGGGAACCCUGACGCAAGCAACGCCGCGUGAUUGAAUAAGCCCUUCGGGGUGUAAAGAUCUGUCAGUGGGGACGAAACUUGACGGUACCCACAGAGGAAGCAUCGGCUAACUCCGUGCCAGCCGCUGC